rnacentral:rRNA from 1 species
UACGUAGGGGGCAAGCGUUGUCCGGAUUUAUUGGGCGUAAAGAGCGUGUAGGCGGCCAGAUAGGUCCGUUGUGAAAACUCGAGGCUCAACCUCGAGACGCCGAUGGAAACCAUUUGGCUAGAGUUCGGGAGAGGUGAGUGGAACUGCGAGUGUAGAGGUGAAAUUCGUAGAUAUUCGCAAGAACACCAGUGGCGAAGGCGGCUCACUGGCCCGAUACUGACGCUGAGGUGCGAAAGCGUGGGGAGCAAACAGG